rnacentral:rRNA from 1 species
GUUAGCGGCGGACGGGUGAGGAACACGUGGAUAACCUACCCAUAAGAUUGGGAAAACUUCGGGAAACCGGAGGUAAUAUCCGGUAAGAGUUUGAAGCACAUGGGCCAAAAGUGAACCACGGUCUUGCUGACACUUAUAGAUGGAUACGCCCUCCAUUAGCCAGUUGGUAAGGCAACCGCUUACCAAGGCAAGGAUGCAUAGCC